rnacentral:rRNA from 1 species
UACAGAGGAUGCAAGCGUUAUCCGGAAUGAUUGGGCGUAAAGCGUCUGUAGGUGGCUUUUUAAGUCCGCCGUCAAAUCCCAGGGCUCAACUCUGGACAGGCGGUGGAAACUACCAAGCUGGAGUACGGUAGGGGCAGAGGGAAUUCCUGGUGUAGCGGUGAAAUGCGUAGAGAUCAGGAAGAACACCGGUGGCGAAAGCGCUCUGCUAGGCCGCAACUGGCACUGAGGGACGAAAGCUAGGGGAGCGAAUGGG